GCUCACUGGGAAACAUGCCUGAAACCUGAGCAUGAGGCUGCAAAGGCCACAGAGUCUCUUCUGCUUCUUGUGCAGUGUUGCUGAAACACUUAGUGACCGUGUUUCUCUCAUAGCCCAAGCCACGUUCUCCACAUCACCAAGCCGGAGCCUGGUGAGGGGGAGAGCCUGCCAAAACCUCCUGUUGUUUCCUGGCAUUUUCUGGGAUGGGCCUACCAUUCAUGCAUUGACUUGAGAAGCCAAAUGAACAUAGGGUGUCCAUAGGGAUGGCAUUUCUCCUUUUUCUGAGCAGGAAAAAUUUUUCUUUUGCUGCAUAAGGGAAGCUGAAAUUUUCAGACUGCUGAGAGACAGAGCUGCAGGUGGCUCCUGUGUGCCCAAGCAGGCAUUUUCAUCCCAAUACAUUUGUGCAUGCAUCUUAAUGUGUCUGUGUUGAAUAUGAGAUUGUAAAUGUUUGUUUCCUUACCUGGGGAUUAACUGAUGGAUUUCCUUUCUUUUCUUCCAAUUACCAUUGUUUUCAAGAACAGGACUAAAAACUUGAUGAGUCUUGUUCUAUGGCAACUGUGCUUAAGGGACCAACAAGCACUGCAGAGAUGCCUUUCAUGUACUAAUCCUUGGAAUUAGUUAACAUAGCAAAGUCCCCCUUCCAAAAAGGCUGUCCAGCUGGUGUGAAUCCUCAGAGAAGGAGAUGUGCUUUUGCUGAUGUAGUUCCCACUAACUAGGUCAGUCAAUGAAAUCGGCUGCCAAGGCAAGAUUGGCAGGAUGUUGGCAAAGUUGUGGCUGCAUCAGAGUUUGGGCUUUUUGUUGGUAAAGGAAAGUCAUCUCUGGGUCUCUGCCAGGGCAGAAACUGCCACUGCAGAAUGGAGGUUAAACAAUGGGCUCUGGGAGAGCAGUUACAGAUGGGAAAGAAGCAGGUGGAGCCUCGUGUUCCCUUUUUCUCCAGACUAAACACCUGAGAGCCACAGCAGGGACGCCUCAGCUGCGGCAGCCCAGGCUCCUCUCGGCUUGGCUGCGUGACUUCCUGAGCUGCUGCCUGCAGAGAGACGAGGAGCGGCGCUGGUCUGCCGACGAGCUCCUGCAGCAUCCACUGGUAUCAGCCAAGCCAGCGUCUACCCUGGCAGCACUCAUUAUUUCAGUGAAGAGGAGGAAGGUGAAGCAAACACUGUGAUAAUCACAUCAGGACCAUUUCUUCCAUAACCAGCUAAGAAUAGGACUGAAGAGUAGUUUUGUAGAGUAGGAUUGUAGAGAAGGAUUAUAGAUUAGGAUUGAAAAUAAAGCUUCUGAAACUUUAA